UNGGUGUCAUCAUACCUAAGUUAAGGCAUG
rnacentral:piRNA from 1 species